rnacentral:lncRNA from 1 species
GACGACCUGGACUUACGGGGAGAAAGGUAAAUGUUGUUUCUUAUGGUUUUCAAGCGCUAAGAGCAAAAGUACAUGCCUCCUUUCUCUGAUUUUAUGCUCAUUUCCCAUGUGAUGAAUCCAAGCACCACCAGCAUCUGCUAAUCUGUUCUUUUCUUUACAACUGCUCACCUCUCCCUUUACUAGGAGAGAGAGUGAUCUUGCCCAUCUUGAAACAAAGCUGAGAACUCUUCUCAACUCCAUAAUUUCUUGAAAGCAGAACGUGUGCUUGGUGGCUGAGUCAGGUUGGGUGGGGGACAUCAGAACUCAAGUCUGUUCCUGUAGGUUGUCCUCUAAACUCAAUCUACCAUGCCAGGUGGCUCUGUUGGAGAUGGUCAGAGAAAGUUAUUUGCCUCAUCAGAAUCUCACUCCCCUGCUUAAAACCAUCCAUCAGGUCCCUCACUGGGUCACCUUCAGGGGCCUGGAUCUGUACCGUCAUACAGGGCCUGAGAUGGGCCCCUGCUUGAUUUAAGGCUGUACUCAAUCCUGGAAAUGCUUAAUUUCUGAGCAAAGGGUCUGUUUUCCUUUUACACUGAGCCCAGCAAACUAUGUCGCCAGAGUUCUCUUCCCCAUGACCCUUGGGAAAAUCUUCAAAGCUUAAGGUAGUAAUAAGAUAAAUAAGUCCUGGGGAGCUGACAUAAGCAUUUUGGCUUAUAGUUCAUGGUACUGUAUUGUAUAACUGAAAUUUUGCUAAGAGAAUAGAUCUUCAAUGUUCUCACAUUUAAGAAAGAGUGGUAAAAAAGAAAGAGUGGUAACGUCACUGGAAGAGGGGAACUCAACUCAGGACUAGAGGGAUGCUUGACUGUGAAGGAAAGAAUUUCAGCAUCUGUGGGCAAAGGUGCAGAGAUUUAUUUAGGAAAGCAAUAGUAGACACUCAAAGGAGAAUGCAGACCAUCUUGAGAGUAAGAGGUGAUGCUUUUGGGGUUUUCUAGUGCUUCUUUUAAAGGAAACUUGGUGAGGUGUGGGUGUGGGAAGGUAUGUGAGGAUGACGUUUGCAGGAUCCUUAGGUUGGUGUGGUCUCUGUUAUCUGAUGGGUAGAUAAUGCUGUCAGGCCCCCAAUGUUAUUGGUUUCUUAAAAUAUCCUCUAUUAACUUACUCUAUUUAUUGGUGCACAAAUUAACAGCAUGAAAAGUAAUUAUCCCAGGUGAGUGAACUUAGAACCUUUAAGAUUUCCCAGAUAUUUGGGAGUAAAAAGCCUGGAAUAGCUUGUGGUACUUUAAAUUAAAAUUGUAUUUCCUUGUUCUUUCUUUAUGUCUCCUUUCUACCUAGUUUCCUGAUCUCCUCUAUCCUUCCUCAGUAAUAAACUGAGGCAGUAGAUGUGUUAACUAAUGUGAUGUGGGUCAUAAUUUUGUAAUAUGUGUAUGUAUCAUAGCAUCAUAUUAUAUACCUUAAACCUACACAGUUUUGUCAAUUACCUCAAUAAAGCUUCAGGGGGUGAGGGAGCAGCUUACGAGACCCCUUGCUAUUUACCCUGUUUAGUUGAAAGCUGUUGCUCAUCUUUCUCUGGUGAGUCUGUCCUGGCCUCUCUCCACCUUUGAUUUUUUCUAUCUAGCUUCUGACCUUUUACUAUCUGAGUCUGGCUUAUUUAGUUCAACACGAUGCUCUCCAAUUCCAUCCAUUUUUCUGAAAAUGACAGAAUUUCAUUCUUUAUGACAGAAUGAAACUCCAUUGUGUGUAUAUAUACCACAUUUUCUUUAUCCAUCCAUCUGUGGACAGACACCUAGACUGGUUCCCUAACUUGGCUAUUGUGAGUUGUCCUGCUAUAAACAUCGGGUAUUCAUGUAUCACUAUAGGAUGCUCACUUUAGUUCUUUAGGGUAAAUACCAAGGGGUCAUAUGAUGGUUUCAUUCCCAGUCUUUUGAUUUCCAUAGUGGUUGUGCUAAAUUACACUCCCACCAACAGCAUAUAAGAGUUCCUCUUCCUGAUAGCCCACCUACGUGCUAGAACUUGUGAUUUGUAUUUCAUUUUUUUUUUUUUGGCACCAGGUAUUGAACCCAGAAGUGCUUAACCACUAAGAGCCCAAUUCUCUUUUCAACCAGACAACCUGCCCUUGGUGAGGGCAGGACCAUAUUUAUCAUGUUCAGUGGUUUAUUUUCCAGGACAUUAAGCAAUUGUUGGAUGAGCAGAUGCCUCAGCAAACAAAUCAACUUUCCCUGGAGUUCAUUUUCUACUCUUUGCUUCUCCUUCAGUUCUUUCAUGAACACUGGGAAAGCAGUAACUUGAGUCGAGCUCUGGUCUGUGCUUGAUAUUUUUUGCUUUCCUUUGGGAAGAUCAUUACUUGUACAUGUCCCCCUGCUGAGCACUGGCCCCCCCUCCUCACUGGGAGCCUUGAGUCCCCACAUCCAGGACAGAACAUCCUUUGGUGGGAGCUAGGUUUGAUUGUACUAAUCUGAAGCUCUUCUUGUCUCAUUGACUAGGGAGAACCUGGAGAACUUGGAGUUCCAGGGCCAGUGGGGCCAGCUGGACAGCGGGGAAAACAGGUAUGAAAUUUGAAACCCUUCCCCUCCCAAUUUCAAGUGCUAAGUUCUGAGGUAAGGAGAGGGGGGCUGACACUAUUGGCACAAGCAUCUGUGGUAUGGAAGGUACUUAGGCAUCUGGGAAGAUGUGGGGGCAUUUCUCCAAUAUCCUACCCCCCCCACCCCUGGCUGGUCUAUCUGUUAAAGUGAGGGAGAAUAACAAGGGGGAGGCAUAGAGGAUAAUGAAUGAAUUAGAAUAGGGCAUUGCAGUAUUUUAGCAGCCAGUAUGGCCAUGUAGAUACAUAUUGUUGAACAACAAAACUUCCCCUUUCUCUCCUUGUGAAACUCUAGGGCAACAACAGGAGAUAGGGGAGUAGGGCCAAGAAAGAGAGCAUCACCUUUUCAGGUUUAUGCUCUCUCCUAAGUGGCUCUGGUUGUACCCAAAUCUCAGCCCUUGGAACACCAAAUAUUAGGACAAUUAUUUCACUCCUUUUUAAAAAAAGAACAUUUUUAUUAUAAACAUUAUGUGUACAUAUUGUAGAAAAUUUGCCAAGUGUAUUAUUGACCACAGCUUAGAUGCAGAAUCAACCUAAAUGUCCAAGUGAAUGCAUAAAGAAACAUUGCACACACACACACACACACACACGAUUCCACUUUAAAUAAAAGAAGGAAAUCCUGUCAUUUGUGUAUGAAAACAUGGAUGAACUUGGAUGACAUUAUGAGCAAUGAAAUAAAUAAGCCAGGCAUAGAAAGGAAAAUACUGUACCACACAAUCUCACUUAUAUGUGAAAUGUAAAAAAGGCAAACUCAGAGACAGAGUAAAUUGAUGGUUCUCAGAGGCUGAGGGGUCGGGGACUGGGGUGAUGUUGGUCAAAGGAGACCACAUUUCAGACAGGAGGAAUAAGUUCAAGAGAUGUGUUGUACAUCAUGAUGACUAUAGUAAAUCAUAAUGUAUUGUGUUUUUGAAAAUAGGAAGGAAGGAAAGAAAGGAGAGUAUGAGGGAGGGAGGGAGGGGAAGGAAUUAACAAAUAACCACAGAGCUAGGAGCUCACAGAGAAAUGAAUAUAAGGACACAGUAAGUUCCUGGCCUGUUGCCAUGUCCCACAGUCCACUGUCUCUACAAAGGCUUCCAGUCUUCCUUCAUGGAAGUUUUUAUCCAUAAAAAUAAAUCAGAAUGCUUGUAGAAAUGGUCUGGCUUCUUCAGUCUUCAAAGUGCCUUUUCAUGAUCUAAUUUGAAAACAUGAAUAUUCAAAAAGGAAAAAAAAAGAAAAGAAAGGGGAGGGGGGAUAGUAGGGGAUAGGAAAGGUAGCAGAAUACAACAGUUACUAAUAGGGCAUUAUGUAAAAAUGUGGAUGUGUAACCGAUGUGAUUCUGCAAUCUGUAUUUCGGGUAAACAUGGGAGUUCAUAACCCACUUGAAUCUAAUGUAUGAAAUAUGAUAUGUCAAGAGCUUUGUAAUGUUUUGAACAACCAAUAAAAAAAAAGAAAAGAAAAAAAGAAAUGAAAUUUACCAAGCUUAAAAAUGGGCAAAGGAUAUGAAAUUAAAAAUUAUCUACCAUCUCAUCAUUUUGAGAUAUUUUUAUUAAUAUUCUGGAAAUAGCAAAAAAUAAAAAUAAAAAAGAAGAAAGAAAAUCACUUUAUUUUCCCUUCUUAAUAAUGUAUCAUGAGCAUUCCUUCCUAGUCUUGACAAGUUGCUACAUUUUUCUCUCAAUGACACUUAACUUUUCAAAUAUUCUACCUUAGUUUAUUUGCCCAAUCUCUUAUUAUUAGAAAUUUAGUUUUAUUUCAGGUUUUCACUAUCCUAAAUAACACACCAAUGAAUAUUAUUAUACCUAACUAAAAAUUUGGACAAAUGCAAUGUGUGUGUGUGUGUGUUAUUAUUUUUUUGCCAUGCUGGGGAUCGAACCCAGGGUCUAGUGCUUGCUAGGCAAGUGCUCUACCACUGAGCCGUAUCCCUGCUCCAUCUUCUACAUAGAAGUUUCUAGAAUUUGUAUAGUUGGGUCAAAGAGUAUGUACAUGUUUAAUUAGGCUUUGAAUUCUACUUGUCUAUGCCAUUAGGAAAAUUCAAACAAUACAUAGGUCCAAGUGCAGGAGAGUGUUUGGUUUAGGCCCUCACACCAACAUAGAUAUUUAACUUUGUUUUCCCAUCUUUACCAUUGACACAAAUGCUAUCUGUUCAAUUGCGUUUAUUUGGUUCCUAGUGGGGAUAAACACAUUUUCCCUGUAUAUCUAUUUGCCAUUUAGCAUCAUUCUUUGGGUGAUUCCUCACCUAUAUUCAUUGGACCAACUCCUAAGUUUCCAAUCAAGAAAUGGCCACUGGAUCUGAGUCCUGAACAACCAUCCUUCUGUUUCCUGCACUGGUUAGAGUGGAGAUGGCCGAAGAAGAACCAGGGCAUACCUCAGGAACUGAGGGAAACCUAGCAACACACAUGUUCCCAGGGUUCAGGGUCACCAAGCAGGCCCCCUCCACCUGGAGGUCCACAGUGCUUCUCUACUGGUAUCGGGUACAAUUAGUUUUUUUCAACUCUGAGAAACUGAAAUGAUUUGGUGUGUUUACAGGGAGAUUAUGGCGUCCCAGGUUAUGGUAAUAAGGGACAAAAAGGAGUAAAGGUAAGUAUGGAAAACAACUCUUUUUAAAAAAUUGAUAAAUCAAGCCUAAAUAAUAACAGAAGAAAUAACCCUACGGAGGAAGUGGUAUGCUGAUUUAUUUGUUUUCUGCUGAAAAAUUACAGGGUCCAAGAGGAUUCCCUGGAGAUAUAGGGCAGAAGGUACUGCGCACAUGAACUUCUUUUGUAAUUAUCGUGAUCUUAACCUUCUGGAGAGUUAAGGUUGUAGGUCUGAAUGUAAUGGGAAGGUGGGGGCUGGGUGGGAGCAGUGCAGUUGUUUCUCCCAGAGCUUUAUGACUCCUAUGAAUCUUUGUAUUGGAAAAGAUAGUCCUGUCCUUCAUUGCCUGAGGUCCCACACCUUGAAACUCCACCUACAGGUAUCCUUUGUACUUUAGUUCUUCCUUCUUUUCUUGAUUUCUCUGCCUUUGUUAUCUCAUUCACUACCUUGGCUAUUACUACUUGUCCUUCAUUAUUGCAACCUUUGUUUCCUCUUGGCUGAAAGAUGACAAUAGUUUUCUCAUCGAUCUUUUUUAAAAUUUAUUUAUUCAUUUAUUUUUGCAUUACGAUUAGAAUAGAGGACACAGAGAUCUAACCCACAAAAUUACAACUACCUUAUAUUAGACAAAGGUGCCAAAAGCAUGCAAUGGAGGAAGGAUAGCAUCUUCAACAAAUGGUCCUGGGAAAACUGGAAAUCCAUAUGCAACAAAAUGAAACUGAAUCCCUUUCUCUCGCCAUGCACAAAAGUUAACUCAAAAUGGAUCAAGGAGCUAGGAAUCAAACCAGAGACUCUGCGUCUAAUAAAAGAAAAAGUAGGCCCCAAUCUCCAUCACGUGGGGCUAGGCCCCAACUUCCUUGAUAAGACGCCUAUAGCACAAGAAUUAAAACCAAGAAUCAACACAUGGGAUGGAUUCAAACUAAAAGGUUUUUCUCAGCCAAAGAAAUAAUAUGUGAGGUUAAUAGGGAGCCUAUGUCCUGGGAACAAAUUUUUACCCCUCACACAUCAGAUAGAGCUCUAAUCUCUAGAGUAUAUAAAGAGCUCAACAAGAUAAGCACCAAAUAAACAAACAAUCCAAUCAAUAAACAGGCCAAGGACCUGAACAGACACUUAUCAGAAGAGGAUGUACAAUCAAUCAACAAAUAUAUGAAAAAUUGCUCAUCAUCUAUAGCAAUCAGAGAAAUGCAAAUUAAAGCUACUCUAAGAGACCAUCUCAUUGAUCUUUGAUCUUUUGUUUUGAUCUUUUCCCUGCUUCUGUUGGUCCCAAAUACUACAGUCACUGGAUUUUCCCCAAAGCAUAGCCUCACUCUGCUGCUUCUUUUCUUUUUCUUUCUUUCCUUUUUUUAUUGGUACCAGGGGUUGAACUCAGGGGCACUCCACUACUGAGCCACAUCCUCAGCCUUUAUUAUUUUUUAUUUUGAGACAGGAUUUCACUAAGUUGCUGAGGCUGACUUUAAACUUGUGAUUCUCGUAGUGCUGGGUUUACAGGCAUGUGCCUGGCUUGUUAUGUUACUUUCUUGAUCAGACCUCUUCUAGAAUUCCUCCUUGACUGUUAGAUUGAAGAUGGGUCUUCUAUUUCAUCCAAAGUAGCUCACAUUUUAUGAAAAUGCACAGUGAUUCUGUAUUAAGAUUUUCUAUUUCAAAAAAAAGUGUUCAGAACCGUGUUUUCCAAAUAGUUGGUGCUCAGAUCAAAAUGCAAGAUAUAGGUUAAAAAAUAGAAUAUGUCUAAUCAAAUCCCCUAUAGGAAAGCAGCCAGUUUUUGGAUUCUCUUAAAAAGCAUUUUUAACUGAUGAUUUACCAAAAUAUUCUUUCUUUAGGCAGAAAAGGAUUCAAGGGAGAUGAAGGGAAUUGGAGGAGAGGGGGUGGAGAUGUUCAAAGUAUGUUAUGUGCAUGUAUGGUUAAGCCACAAUGAAACCCAUUAUCUGUAUAAUUAAAAAUGUACUAGUGAAUAAAAAAAGACAAUUCCAAAUUAAAAAGGAAAAAAAAGGACACAAGAAGAGACUAUAUGAAUAGCUAUUAGGAUAAGAGUUCUCCUUAUAAAGGAUCUGUUUUCUAAUUUACUGAUAAAGGGAGAAAAUUAGCAUAUAUAAAGUUACUGACAUAAGUGAAAUAAGCAUAUUGAUAAAUAACUGUUAAAAUUAGUUUCUCACCAAAGUCAGAAAAAUUUUUUAACCUUCAACUUUUAAAAAUAAUUCAUGAAUUUAGGAAAUAAUUAAUUAUUUUGUAUUUUAUAUAGUCAGUACUUUCUAUAUUUUCCAUGGUUUUUAAGCAUCUUCUUUGGAUAGUUUUAGUAACUGAAAGUCACUGAGUUGGUAUUUAUAUGCAAAUAUUUGUAUUAUUUGAAUAUUAAAAUAAUUUAGGGAAUAUCUAAAUGGACAUAAUGACAGUUCCAAAUGACAGGAAAAGAUGACAUUUAAUGUUGUAUUGGCCUAUGUGUGUGUGUGUGUGUGUGUGUGUAUAUAUAUAUAUAUAUAUAUAUAUAUAUAUAUAUAUAUAUAUAUAUAUAUAUAUAUUUUUUUUUUUUUUUUUGAUACUGGGGAUUGAACCCAGGGCCUUGUGCAUGCGAAGCAAGCACUCUACCAACUGAGCUAUAGUAUAAUUCUUAUAAGAGCAAUUCAGUUUUGGUUUGGAGACAAUUUUUUUUUAUUCUCUUAUAGCACAUAUGUUAACAUCUUGAUUUUUUUCUCUGAAUCUUCAGGGUAUUGUUGGUGAUCCUGGAAUUCCUGGGG